CGGGGGGAGCAAGCGUUGUUCGGAUUUACUGGGCGUAAAGGGCGCGUAGGCGGCGUGACAAGUCACUUGUGAAAUCUCCGGGCUUAACCCGGAGCGGUCAAGUGGUACUGUCGUGCUAGAGUGCGGAAGGGGCAACUGGAAUUCUCGGUGUAGCGGUGAAAUGCGUAGAUAUCGAGAGGAACACCUGCGGCGAAGGCGGGUUGCUGGGCCGACACUGACGCUGAGGCGCGAAAGCCAGGGGAGCGAACGGGAUUAGAUACCCCGGUAGUCCUGGCCUUAAACGAUGGAUGCUUGGUGUCCGGGGUAAUAAAGUCCCCGGGUGCCGUCGCUAACGCUUUAAGCAUCCCGCCUGGGGAGUACGCACGCAAGUGUG
rnacentral:rRNA from 1 species